GAAAUGUUUGGAGUUCUUUGUUUU
rnacentral:piRNA from 1 species